GCCUUCGUGGUGUAGUGGUCAGCACGCUCGGCGCGUAUUCGAGAGGUCCGUGGUUCGAGUCCCGGCGGGGGCA
rfam:Stegodyphus mimosarum contig19949, whole genome shotgun sequence.